CCAAGACCAGUAAGCAGUGUAUUCAGGAUACAAGUAUUUAAGCUGCAUACCUUCAGGAGGACUUCCUGGUGGUGACAGAUGAUGAGUUGUUCUGCUCUUUCAAAGCCAGUGAGAGAUUUGCUGCUGUUCUCCCAGGGGACCGUGCAUCAGGCCCAAGGCUGAGCAGCCCUGCAAGGACUCAGAGAUAAGUGACAAAGCCUCCGUCACUUGGAGGAGUUUGAAUUAGGGGGCUGUUUUUGUUUUGACAAACAAGGUACAUGCUCUCAUCCUUCUCCAGGGGAUGAAAAGCGCUGAUCUCAGAGGUGCCAGUUGCCUCUGGAAAAGGCCAGAAAGCCCGUGCGUUUCAGUGGUUUGGCUGUAAGCUUGCUAGCAUGAACUGCCGUGAAGGGCCACCAAGCCUCCUAUCUUUGAUUGAGGCCAACAGCAGAUGUAAGGAAGAAUGAAAACAUGGGACAAGUGUAACCGAAGGCUGCCAAGAAGUUGCAAGACAUUGCAGAAAAUCCCGGAGAAACUUAGUUCUUCACAUGGGCCUAGGUGUGGGUUGUUUUUUUUUUUGCUGUGAGAAGGUACAAGUAUUUUCCAGAUAGCUUUGCAAGUCACUUUCUGAACUUGAUCAGAACUUGCUAAGCGUUAAGCUUGCCUCGCUGUGGGCAGCAGGUUUUGCCUUCUGUCUAUUUUUAAAAUGAGGUUUGUGGUGGGGAAACUGAAAAGUAGUUAUCAAGUGUUUUUGCAAAACAGAGAUGAUGGUGACAGUGUGCCUUACAAACACCAAAGCUCCUGUUCAUAGAUAUGCUGUCUGCUCCCCCUGACUGUUUUUGCAUGGCAUGCCCGUGACCGCUAAAACUGCUUAAUGUGAAAAAGAACUGCUGGUAAAGCACUUAGGGGCUUGAUUGCAAAAUUAAUUUGGCAAACAGAAAAAAGACUCGCGAAGGUCUUUGUUCCUUUUCUUUCCUUCCAGUUGGCUGUUCUCUGCUGUUUACUUUCUCGUUCUUGUUGACUAGGUCGUGAUGGUUUUCUUCCUUGCCACUCCAAGCUCCCUGCUACCCCAUGCCUUCCUUUGGUGCAGCUUCUGCCCGGCUUCCUACAUCCCUUCUACUCUGACCACUUCUUUUUGGUCGAGGCCUCAUGGUGGCCUUAGCUUCGCUUUUGUUUUUCACUGCUUUCACUUUUCUGCCUGUCCUGCUCCACCCGCACACAUUUCAACAUUGGCAGUUCAGUCUCUGUGUCAAAGUGGUUAUACCUUUUCAUACUUUUUCUUUUUAAACUUGAAUAAACUCUCUUACUUCUAGCUUGAGAAAAACUUUACAAGAAUGACAUUCUAAGCCUGAAUUUG